rnacentral:lncRNA from 1 species
AGGAACCUCGCGACGCGCUCUCGGGCAUCGGUUUCUCCCAGCAAAGCUUGGAGGGUUUAGCUGCGCGGAGAGCUCAGCGAGCUCUUCUGUGUCUGUUUGGGGCGUGUGGGCUCCGGGAGCGUGAGGACCGGGAAGCUAGGAGGCUCCUUCCCUUCUGGCGGCUCCCUCACUGAGACCGGGCGGUUUGGUUGCGGGGGAAGUGGAGACGAGCCGCCCUUGACCUUUGACUGCAAGAACUCGCCUUGAGCAGGAUAGAGCAAACAUUGAGUGGGCCAGACACUGUUCUGAAAAAUACGCAGUCGACUUUUGAACAGCACAGGCUUGAACUGCAUGCGGCCACUAAUACUCGGACUUUCUUCUGCCUUUGCCACCCCUAAGACAGCAAGACCCACCCCUCCUGCUCCUCAGCCUACUCGAUGUGAUGAUGGUGAGUAUGAA